rnacentral:rRNA from 1 species
GACGAACGCUGGCGGCGUGCUUAACACAUGCAAGUCGAACGGAAAGGCCCUGCUUUUGUGGGGUGCUCGAGUGGCGAACGGGUGAGUAACACGUGAGUAACCUGCCCUUGACUUUGGGAUAACUUCAGGAAACUGGGGCUAAUACCGGAUAGGAGCUCCUGCUGCAUGGUGGGGGUUGGAAAGUUUCGGCGGUUGGGGAUGGACUCGCGGCUUAUCAGCUUGUUGGUGGGGUAGUGGCUUACCAAGGCUUUGACGGGUAGCCGGCCUGAGAGGGUGACCGGCGACAUUGGGACUGAGGUACGGCCCAGACUGCUACGUGAGGCAGCAGUGGGGAAUAUUGCACAAUGGGCGGAAGCCUGAGGCAGCAACGCCGCGUGCGGGAUGACGGCCUUCGGGUUGUAAACCGCUUUCGCCUGUGACGAAGCGUGAGUGACGGUAAUGGGUAAAGAAGCACCGGCUAACUACGUG